rnacentral:rRNA from 1 species
UACGGAGGGUGCAAGCGUUGUUCGGAAUCACUGGGCGUAAAGGGCGUGUAGGCGGUCCGCUAAGUCUGAUGUGAAAGCCCGGGGCUCACCCCCGGAAGGGCAUUGGAAACUGGCGGACUCGAGUCUCGGAGAGGAAGGUGGAAUUCCUGGUGUAGCGGUGAAAUGCGCAGAUAUCAGGAGGAACACCGGUGGCGAAGGCGGGUCUCUGGGCCGAUACUGACGCUGAGGAGCGAAAGCGUGGGGAGCAAACAGG